UACGUAGGGUGCGAGCGUUAAUCGGAAUUACUGGGCGUAAAGCGUGCGCAGGUGGUCAUGCAAGACAGAUGUGAAAUCCCCGGGCUUAACCUGGGAACUGCAUUUGAUACGGGCGAGCUUGAAUCCAAGAGAGGGUGGUGGAAUUCCCAGUGUAGAGGUGAAAUUCGUAGAUAUUGGGAAGAACACCGGUGGCGAAGGCGGCGAGCUGGUCCAUUACUGACGCUGAGGCGCGAAAGCGUGGGGAGCAAACAGG
rnacentral:rRNA from 1 species